rnacentral:lncRNA from 1 species
AUGAAUAUUGAACCACAAUUUUUCAAAAACCUCCUCUAUUCUCUGCCCAUAGGGACCGCCGUCUCAUCCCCAGACCCCAUGGCCCUGACCACGGCGGGGACACAGCCCUCACUAGGGGAGGUGGCGGGGAUCCCCCUGCCGGCCACCACUGUGGACAACUGGCACCAGAUCCAGGGCUUCGAGGCCCAGUCGGACGACCUCCUCAUCUGUACCUACCCUAAGUCAGGGACCACGUGGAUCCAGGAAAUUGUGGACUUGAUUGAGCAGAGCGGGGAUGUGGACAAGUGUCAGCGGGCGGCCAUCCAACACCGCCACCCAUUCCUCGAGUGGGCCCGGCCGCCCCAGCCCUCCGGUGUGGAGAAGGCCAGAGCGAUGCCCCGGCCCCGGGUGCUGAGGACCCACCUCCCCGCCCAGCUGCUGCCUCCAUCCUUCUGGGAAAGCAACUGCAAGUUCCUCUAUGUUGCUCGAAACGUCAAGGACUGUCUGGUUUCCUACUACCACUUCCAGAGGAUGAACCGGACACUUCCCGACCCGGGCACCUGGGACCAGUACUUUGAAACCUUCAUCAGUGGAAAAGUCGCGUGGGGGUCCUGGUUCGAGCAUGUGAGAGGCUGGUGGGAGCUGAGAAACAAUGUCCGGAUGCUCUUUCUCUUCUAUGAGGACAUCAAGAGGGACCCAAAGCAGGAAAUUCAGAAGGUGAUGAAGUUCAUGGAGAAGAACUUGGAUGGAGCCGUGCUGGACACCAUUGUCCAGGAGACGACAUUUGAGAAGAUGAAGGCAAACCCCAUGACCAACCGUUCCACGGCUCCCAAGACCAUCCUGGACCAGUCCAUCUCCCCCUUCAUGAGGAAAGGAAUCGUGGGGGAUUGGAAAAACCACUUCACGGUGGCUCAGAAUGAGAGAUUUGAUGAAAUCUACAGGCAAAAGAUGGAAGGAACCUCAAUCAACUUUUGCACGGAGCUCUGA